rnacentral:tRNA from 1 species
GCUUUUGGUUCAGUGGUAGAAUACUCGCCUGCCACGCGGGCGCCCCGGGUUUGAUUCCCGGCCGAUGCA